UACAACACUACAUUUUUGAAAUAUUUCAGCUAUGUACUGGGUAAGUUUAGACAAAAACAUUUCAUGUUCUGGGUUGUUAGACCAGAAAUAACAUCUUAAAGGCAACUGUGAACAUGCUGCUUAAAACCACUUAAUAAGAUAAUGAAAUAACAUUUGGUGAAUUUAUGGCCUCUUCUAAGCAAUGAAUUACUGUAAACCUCAAGUUGUUGGUUAAACAAAUCACAAUACAACUACAAUAAUUUCUCAUAAAAAUGUGAAACAACGAGGAAGUUUGAAUAUUUUUCAAACAAAUACCCCGAAAGACAAAUGAGAAAAUAACACAGUGACCUAUCAUUGUUGUGAUCUUUGCCUGACCUGCUGAUGUUGGUGCAGUGGCAGCUUUGUUUGGGCGGUUCCCUGUUUUCAUAUUAACUUAAUAGACAUCCUCACGAGGUCGCCAGUAAUGGGUUCACAGAGAUGAUCGAUAAUAAUCAGUGUAUAAUUUCAAUGUAUUUCAUAUAAUUCAAAUAAGUACUAAUGACUGACACACAUUUUGAAAGAUAAUAAUACUCCAUCAAAAUGUCGCAUGAAGUAAGUUAUUUAAUUAAACAUGUCUGAUGACAGAGAAGCGCAGCAUUUCUUUGGGAGGGGGUGGAGUGUUAAUCGGAUUACUUGUGAGCUCAGAAGAACUAUAUUAACUGAGAUCCUCAACCCAAAGAGUCGCUUAGCUUGAACUCAAGAGAAGCAAAGCUGAUCGGUUUAUGCUGGAGAACUCCAACAAGAGAAAUGGAGGUAAAUCUUGCUUCCCUGGUUGUGUUGGUCUUUCUUAUAUUUCCUGUGACGUGUUUGAGUACAGGAGACACAUAUAAACCACCCAGAGAGAGAAGUGAAAACAAACUACUCAAGAGAUUUUAUCCCACUGACUACGACAACUUUGUGGGUCUUUUGGGAAAGAGACAUGCUGCUUCAACAUUGAAUUAUGCCGAUGACAUCCUUGCUGACCCGCUAAAACAAAAAACAGCAGGAGCGGGUUGUGGAUCAGUGCAAACAUUUCUGCAGAUGACGGGGUUUAAAUUCUCCAACUGUGUAAAGCAAAGAAGACAACGCUCUCUGUAAUGCAGAUGUCAAACAUCCGUGUGUGACCAGCUGCCAUAAAACCUGCAAUUUAUCAAAGCUCUCCUAUUCAACAAAGUCAUCCAUUGUUAGCAGCCAGAGGAAUAAACACGCUGGUUAAGAUAUUGAAAUCACAAUUGUGACAUCUGUUGCAAAAAUGUAUCACAAAACAGUACAGUAAAAUAUUUAUUUAUAGUGAUUAAAGUACCUUUCACAAAAAAAACAAUCACACAUUUUCUGUGCUCUCACAAAUCUGCACACUUCAAUUCCAACAACUAACAUAAAUACAUGUCAAGUGUCAAUACAGCACUGCACAUUUUUCCCUUUGAGAAAAACCCUAAUAUUGACAAGAUUGUCAAGGAACUGGUGUCUCACUCUUCCCAUUAAUAAAAAAUUCAACGCAGCAAGUCUUAAACAUGAGCCCAAGCAUCUUCUUUAAAAGAGGCUUUAACGUAAAAUAUCCCAAUUCGACUGACAAUGAAACGUGUGAAAUCUUACAACCAUCUCCUGUUAAAAAACAACGGAUAAAAAGGGAACUACGCUGUUCACACACAAAUAAUCAGUUGUAACACCGAGUCUGAAAGGCUUCCAUGUAAAACAAAUUUAAAGUUGUUGAAAUCAAAAUCAAAAGUGCAGUAUGUUUUUUUGUUUUUUUUCAGCCACUUCUUGGUCAUCACUUUUUCACAAACAUAAAAUUUUCAGUUCAUCAGACACUGUAGAUAAACUAAAGCAUACAGAAGCAAAACGGUGUCUAAAAAAAGAAGUAAACACACAAUGAAAGGCUUGAA